rnacentral:rRNA from 1 species
UGGGGAAUAUUGGACAAUGGGCGAAAGCCUGAUCCAGCCAUGCCGCGUGUGUGAAGAAGGUCUUCGGAUUGUAAAGCACUUUAAGUUGGGAGGAAGGGCAGUAAGCGAAUACCUUGCUGUUUUGACGUUACCGACAGAAUAAGCACCGGCUAACUCUGUGCCAGCAGCCGCGGUAAUACAGAGGGUGCAAGCGUUAAUCGGAAUUACUGGGCGUAAAGCGCGCGUAGGUGGGUCGUUAAGUUGAAUGUGAAAGCCCCGGGCUCAACCUGGGAACUGCAACCAAAACUGGCGAGCUGGAGUAGUGCAGAGGGUGGUGGAAUUUCCGGUGUAGCGGUGAAAUGCGUAGAUAAAGGAAGGAACACCAGUGGCGAAGGCGACCACCUGGGCUCUUACUGACACUGAGGUGCGAAAGCGUGGGGAGCAAACAGG